rnacentral:rRNA from 1 species
AUUCCAGCUCCAAUAGCGUAUAUUAAAGUUGUUGCGGUUAAAAAGCUCGUAGUUGGAUUUCUGCUGAGGACGACUGGUCCGCCCCCUGGGUAAGCAUCUGGUUCGGCCUGGGCAUCUUCUUGGGGAACGUAUCUGCACUUGAUUGUGUGGUGCGGUAUCCAGGGCUUUUACUUUGAAAAAAUUAGAGUGUUCAAAGCGGGCUUACGCUUGAAUAUUUCAGCAUGGAAUAACACUAUAGGGCUCCUGUCCUAUUCCGUUGGUCUCGGGACGGGAGUAAUGAUUAAGAGGAACAGUUGGGGGCAUUCGUAUUUCAAUGUCAGAGGUGAAAUUCUUGGAUUUUUGAAAGACGAACCUCUGCGAAAGCAUUUGCCAAGGAUGUUUUCAUCG